UACAGAGGGUGCGAGCGUUGUCCGGAAUCACUGGGCGUAAAGGGCGCGUAGGCGGCCCGAUAAGUAGGGGGUGAAAUCCUGCGGCUUAACUGCAGGGCUGCCUCCUAGACUGUCAGGCUCGAGCACGGUAGAGGCAGAUGGAAUUCCCGGUGUAGCGGUGGAAUGCGUAGAGAUCGGGAAGAACAUCGGUGGCGAAGGCGGUCUGCUGGGCCGUUGCUGACGCUGAGGAACGAAAGCUAGGGGAGCAAACAGG
rnacentral:rRNA from 1 species